rnacentral:lncRNA from 1 species
UAGCACCUGUGUAGAAUGCAAGCUGCUCGGUGGCAAAACCCAAACGCUCGGCUAACGGGGUAAUACCUAAUAAGCUGAAGAAGAAGACCCAUCCAUGCUUUCCAGUAAGAUAAUGUAGCAAAAUUGCUAAGGGACCGAAAGGUAGCAACAUAUUUAUCUUCGCUUUAAUCAAGACAAUGUAAACACUUCUUAGAGGAGCAGUCCUCAUUUUUUUAAAGAUCCAUGAGGUGGAGAGAGCUGCAUGAGACCCAAUAUGAGAUGUCUCGAAGUCAAAAGAAUGAACUUUUCUUGUGCCUUGUGAUGUGCUAUAAGGGAUCUCCGCAUCUGAUUCAAGGUCUAUCUUCUCCUCAAUGGAACCCAUCUCCCUCUGCGUGUCCUUGGCUUUGUUAUCUUUGUUGGUAAGGAUGAUCCUUCUUUAAAAUUCCUCUCCCCAUGCAAAAUAGAAUAAUAGUAUAAAAAAAAUAAAAAUAAAAAAUUAAAAGAAAAUUAAAGAAACUAAUGAAAUUAGUAAUAAAAUAGAAUAUCAUUUCAAAGAAAAAGCAAAGGAAUAAGGAGAGCUUAGAUAAUAUCAUUUCCUCGUUCGAUAAUAGGGUCACAUGCGUAUUUAAAGUAUAAACAAUUCAAUCAAUUUUUUUAUUAAGUAAAUAAAUAAAUAAAAUAAAAAUAAAUAAAAAUAAAAAUAAAGAAUAAAGACAAUUAAAUACAUGAAUAAAUAAAUAAUAAAAAGUAAAAGUAAAAAAUGAAUAGACAAAAUAAGUGUAAUUAUCAAAUACAUGCCAUAAUAAUAAUAAUAUUAUAUAUAUAUAUAUAUAUAUAUAUAAGAAAUAAUAAUAAUAAAAUGUUGAGCCUCAAUGAAAUGUCUAAAUGGACCUAUUCUGAAAAAGGUGUCUAAGUGACCCAAGUGAUGUGUGUAAAUAAGGAGAUGUCUCGGUGCGAGUCAAGGUGAAUCUAGGUGGGCCUAGGGUGCCUAAAUGGGCUUAAGUGCCUAAGUGGGCCCAGGGUGCCUAAGUGGACCUAAGAUGGUGCUUAAUGGGCCAAGUGAAUCUCAAAACUAUCCUAGAAAUGAAUGAAAAGCCUAAUUCUAAAUUAGGGCUGCCAAAGGUCACAAUAAAGGGUCAGAUAGUCCCUCAACCAAAAUCUCCGAGGUGACUCAGAAAAAGGUAAGUGGUACGAGUAGUAAUGGGCCACCCUGGAACUACCGUGGAGCACUGGAAGUGGAUUUAAAGACAUGUGCUAAAGGGACAAAAUUGAGGGUCUACAAAUAUGCCCCUCUUCGGUAUAGAUCACGAGUGUAGAGAAUGCAAGUAGAAACACGAGCAAUGAGCGAAAUGAAGUGAACUAUACUGAAGAAUUAAAGAAAGACCAGAGAUUUUGUCCUAGCGCAUGAAGAGGUAAGGUCAAAAGAUGGGGUCUCAAUGAUAUAGACGGGACAACUCUAUGCGGGGGGAAAUGACAAUAAAGAGAGAAGGCAUGUGACGAGUAGCACAAAGAUGGAAAGAGGUGAAAAGGUGACUCAAAGUCGUGAAUGAGAUGAGUGAAUAUAGGUCAUGGACAAGAUGAACGACUCUGGAUCUAAAAUAAGAUAAAAAGACUCUGGGUCAUGAGCUCAGGGCUCUAAUUGGGAAGAAUGACUCUGGGUCAGGAUGGAAAACGACUCUAGGUCGAGAGCCGUAGGCUCUAAAAUAGGAAAGAAUGACUCUGGGUCAAAAGUGAAAAAAUCGACACUGGGUCAAGAGCUCUAGGCUCUAAAUGGAACAGAAAUGACUCUGGGUCAUAAAUGAAAAACGACUCUGGGUCGAGAGCUCUGGGCUCUAAAUGGAAAAUCGACUCUGGGUCGAGAGCUCUGGGCUCUAAAUGGAAAAGAAAUGACUCUGGGUCAAGAACUCUGGGCUCUAAAUGGAAAAUCGACUCUGGGUCAAGAGCUCUGGGCUCGAAAUGGAAAAUCGACUCUGGGUCGAGAGCUCUGGGCUCGAAAUGGAAAAUCGACUCUGGGUCGAGAGCUCUGGGCUCUAAAUGGAAAACCGACUCUGGGUCGAGAGCUCUGGGCUCUAAAUGGAAUACCGACUCUGGGUCGAGAGCUCUGGGCUCUAAAUGGAAAAUCGACUCUGAGUCGAGAGCUCUGGGCUCUAAAUGGAAAACCGACUCUGGGUCGAGAGCUCUGGGCUCUAAAUGGAAAAUCGACUCUGGGUCAAAAGCUCUGGGCUCGAAAUGGGAAAAUCGACUCUGGGUCGAGAGCUCUGGGCUCUAAAUGGAAAACCGACUCUGGGUCGAGAGCUCUGGGCUCUAAAUGGAAAAUCGACUCUGGGUCGAGAGCUCUGGGCUCUAAAUGGAAAAUUGACUCUAGGUCGAGAGCUCUGGGCUCUAAAUGCAAAAUCGACUCUGGGUCGAGAGCUCUGGGCUCUAAAUGGAAAACCGACUCUGGGUCGAGAGCUCUGGGCUCGAAAUGGAAAAAUCGACUCUGGGUCGAGAGCUUUGGGCUCUAAAUGGAAAAUCAACUCUAGGUUGAGAGCUCUGGGCUCUAAAUGGAAAACCAACUCUGGGUCGAGAGCUCUGGGCUCUAAAUGGAAAAUCGACUCUGGGUCGAGAGCUCUGGGCUCGAAAUGGAAAACCGACUCUGGGUCGAGAGCUCUAGGCUCUAAAUGGAAAAUCGACUCUGGGUCGAGAGCUCUGGGCUCUAAAUGGAAAAUCGACUCUACGUCGAGAGCUCUGGGCUCUAAAUGGAAAAUCGACUCUGGGUCGAAAUGGAAGGUGACUCCGGGUCGAGAGCUCCGGGCUCUAAAAUAGGAAAUAAUGACUCUGGGUCGAAAUAGAAAGUGACUUUGGGUCAAGAGCUCCGGGCUCUAAAAUAGGAAACAAUGACUCUGGGUCGAAAUGGAAAGUGACUCUGGGUCGAGAGCUCCGGGCUCUAAAAUAGGAAACAAUGACUCUGGGUCGAAAUGGAAAGUGACUCUGGGUCGAGAGCUCUGGGCUCUAAAAUAGGAAAUAAUGACUCUGGGUCGAAAUGGAAAGUGACUCUGGGUCGAGAGCUCUAGGCUCUAAAUAGAUAGCCGAUCAGGAUACUUUCCGACUCAAGAUGUCGGGUCGAGGCCACUCACAAGUGGCUAGAAUGAUGAAAACGAAACAUCUCAGGGAUGUGAAUAAUGCAAAUGACUCCGGGUCGUGAGCUCAGGGCUCGGGGUGCUAUGAAUGACUCUGGGUCAAGAUGGAAAAUGACUCUGGGUCGAUGAAUAGCUCUGGGCUAUGAGCUCCGGGCUCUAUGACUGAUCGGCUAGAAGGAGAAUGCGAUACGCAAACUCCAGGUCAAACCACUCAUGGGCGACCAAGUGAUGAAAGCUCAGCUAAGAGCUGGGAAGACUCUGGGUCUAUAGGAAAUGAUAGCUCAGGGCUAGCGGGCUCAAGGCCUAAGGGAAAAAAGAUAGCUCAGGGCUACAAGACUCAGGGUCUAGAAGGAAUGGAUAACUCAUGGCUAUGAGGCUCAGGGCCUAAAAAAAGGAUAGCUCAGGGCUAGCGGGCUCAGGGCCUAAGGGAAAAAGGAUGCUCAAGGCUAUAAGACUCGGGGUCUAGAAGGAAUGAAUAACUCAAAGCUAUGAGGCUCAGGGCCUAGAAGGGAAUAAUAGAGAAGACCAACUCGGAAGUGGACAUGAAAUAAAUUGGCUCAAAGCCACAUACUCAAAAUGUCAAGGGUCGGACUACUGAAACCAAGAAGGGAAAUAUGCCCCAGUAUCCAGGGUGCUCGCACUGCCGAAACAACCAGUAAAUCAAUCAUCCGCUGAAAUCAAUAGGUCAGAAACUGAUGCAUCGUGACAAACCUCUGAAAAGUCUAAACUGAAGGAACCCUCUAUGUCUGAAAAGCUGCUCUGUCGAUGAAUCUCAAAAGGUAAAUCUCAAAGAGUGUAUAUCAUGGCUCAUCUAAAAGUAAACCUCAAAGUGCGUAAAAUGCUGCUCAUCUGGAUAAUCCAAUCUGCAAGGUAACAAUGACGAAAACAAAUCUGUCUCAUGAACAUCUGGCUAAAGGAUCUACCCACACUCCUCGGGUGAAACCUGAUGCGAUCCAUCUCUAUCUCAACAAAUCCAUGUAGGGAGGCCCUGAUACAGUCGAUCAUCGGAAGCUCUAGGCUAGUGCUCAAUCUAAAACCAAGCUGGCCACUGUCUCAAUCUCAAGGAUACUCAAAGAAAAUGGGGGAAAUAUGCCCCAGUAUAAGAUCUGAUGUCAAAGUCGUAAGCUAAACAACCGGCACCAAUCAUCCAUCCUCAUAUCACUGCCUAAAUAAAUCUCAUCAUGGAAAGGGGGAUAUGCCCCAGUAUGGAUAUCGGAUGUCGAAGUCGUGAGGCAAACAAACUAACAAUGAUCAUCCAUCAUCCAUCCUCAUAUCACUACCCAAAUACAAUCUCAUCAAGGAGAGGGGAAUAUGCCCCAGUGUGGAUAAUCUAAUGUCGAAGUCGUGAGGUAAACAAACUAACAAUGAUCAUCCAUCCUCGUACCGUAUACAAUAACAGAUAAGAAUCUCGGAGGAAGGGGGGAAUAUGCCCCAGUGUGAAUAUAUGAUGCACAACCAAAGGAUGAAUCCAACAUCAUCAAUCAACUAUCCUCAGCUCAACAAUAAUCCGCUAAGAAGUCAGAAUGAUGUAUCAACCAAUGCCUCAAGGGAGACACUCUAAAUCUAAUCUCAAAUGAAUAGCCAAAAUGAUGAGGAAUGUGAUAAUCUCAAAAGUAGAAACAUGUCUCUGAUGAAUCCCUGACUGAAUCUGAUAGGAAUCUGGUAACCUCAAAAUGGGGAAAUAUGCCCCAGUAUGCCUGGUCUAUACACUGCACUGAAAACUGCCUCCAACUCAGUAAUAAUCCACUAGUCUAUCUCAGAAAUACUCCACAGAUGGAAACACUAGGGGCUCAACGAUGCUCCACUAGAACUGAUAUAAUCUCAACACACCCCACUACGGAUCUCUGAUCGGUGAAAAUGACCAGACUCAAAGAAAGUGCUCCACUAGGGGCUCAUCUCAACCAAAUGAAAGGGGAAUAUGCCCCAGUAUGGACAUCUAAUGCACAACCAAAGGAUGAAUCUAAUAUCCUCAAUGAACUGUCUCCAAACCCAAAAAUCCAUCGAACAUCAAUAUGUCAAGCAAGAGAGAUACCAAAUGCUUCCAAAAGUAUCUUCCAUAAAAGAGAACAUAGUAACGACCAAACUUCAACCAAUCUACCAAAAACCUGUCCAAGUGAAGACUGUCAAAGAUAACGUCUGAUCUCGUGGCCUCAGGGUGGUCUUAAGACACGGGACGUAACGUAGGCCAAGGUGAUAGGGUGAAAGAAAUGAAGGGAAACUAGGCUCAAAUACCCAAUGAUCAAACCCGUACCCUCGUGUACAAGAUGUAAUGCAUAGAAAAAUCUCAUGAGUCAUGGACUUAGAAAUAACCAAAGGGAAUGCCGAUAACAAAAUGAGAGAAAGGAUGAAUGGUCAAACCAUCAAUGAAAUAUGUGAAUGAUGUGAAGAAGGUAUCAAAUCAGUAAUGGGUAUCAAUAUGUAGGGAAUGAAUAAAAGGUGGAACAAAGAUCUGGAAUGCGGUAAUGGAAUACAAAAGAAAGCAAUGAGAAUGUGGAAUGAGUGAUGAUCAACCCAUGUUAGUACAAUAAAGGAAAGUCAUAUCACCAAUGAUGGAAUGGUGGGUAAGACAAUGAUCUGGAGACCCUAGUAAAAAGAUCACUCAUCUCUCAUACCUAAUAUAUAUCAAUCAUGAUCCAAGAAGCAUAGGAUCUCGUAGAACUCUCAUAUGAACCCUCGACACUCCAAAUGCAUAACAGGAGUGGCUCAAGGACCGAAAAAACUCAUAAAAACUCACAAAAAAACCCAUAAUGACAAAUAUACCCAAUAAAUGAACCUCAAAAGGUGGCAUAAAUACCCAAUGGAAUGAGAUACCAUACAUGAGCAUAUCCUUGCGCUUUUCUUUUCUUUUUUUUUUUUUUCUUUUUUUUUAUUUUUUAUUUUUUUCUCUUUUUUAUUUUUUAUUUUUAUUUUUUUAUUUUUUUGCUUUUUUUUUUUUUUUUUUUUUUUUUUUUUUUUUUUUGCGCAUGCUCUGAUCAUCAAUAAGUCAAACUCCAAUGGAAAAGAUACAAGGAGUGAAUAAACUCUCUCAAAUCACUGAUGAAUACAUGAACCCCAACCCAUGAGACAACCUCUCAAACUAAGAUCUCCGAAUCAAUGUCAAAUGAUGGAAUGAAUAGAGUGAUAUGACUGCCCUCUUUGCACUAAGACGUGAAGAAUCAUCAACCCAAGGAAGAGAAUAAUAAGAUGAAGCAAAUAAUGAUAGAGAAAAGAAAGAGAAUGAAUAUAUGAUGAUAAUAAAAUAGAACAAAUAGGGUGAUAAGAGGAUGGUAACAAGAGUGAGAAGAUAAGCCUAUAAGUCUAAAGCUCAUGAGACUUUCCUAGCAAAGCAUCCAUAUACAUCAAAGGGCCCCAACCCGGGUGUAGAAAUGGUAAUCAAAGCUAUAAGAAAGAAAUAAGGCUAUAAUAUACCACGUGAGGCUCAAUGGGCUAGCAAUGGUUUAAUAUUUCAAUAAAGGUGAUAAGGUGUAAGGUUAACCGAAAUGAUGGUCACCCAUCCUGCGACCACGGUCUCAAACAUAAUACUUCUUCAGCUGAUCCACGUUGGUAGGCUCUGAAAAUUGGUUUCCAUCUAAGUCUGUCAACCAUGCAGCCCCUUCUGGAGUCAAUUCUCGGAUAACAUAAGGCCCACUCCAACUAGGUCUAAACUUUCCUCUAGGGUCUCCAAUCAAACCUCUGAGAAUCCUCAAAACUAAAUCCCCUUUUUGCAAUGGUCUAGGCUUAACUCGUUUCUUGAAGGCACGAGCCAUCUUUCUCUGAUAGGCCUGAACAUGAUCUGCUGCUCUCAAUCUCCUCUCAUCUAAAAGGUUAAGCUGAUCAAAUCGAGCCUGAGCCCACUCUGUCUCAGAAAUCUGCUGCUCAAGGGCUACUCUCAAUGAGCCCAUCUCUGUCUCUAUUGGCAAAACAGCCUCCAUACCAUACACUAGGGAAUAAGGCGUAGCUCCUGUAGAGGUGCGAAAAGAGGUGCGGUACGCCCACAAUGCAAAAGGAAGCUUCUCUGACCAAUCUCGAGAAGUCUCAACCAUCUUCCUCAAAAUCCUCUUAAUAUUCUUGUUUGCAGCCUCUACUGCCCCAUUGGUCUGUGGCCUAUAUGCUGAAGAUCUAUGAUGUCGGAUGCCAUACUCCUGCAACAAAGUGUCUACCUCAGCUCGGAAGUGCGCCCCUCUGUCGGAAAUCAACUCAUGAGGAACCCCAUAGCGGCAAAUGAUGUGUGAUCUGAUAAAACUGGCAACCCUAGCAGAUGUCAACCUCGCAUAUGAUGCGGCUUCCACCCACUUGGUGAAAUAGUCUAUGGCAACUAGGAUGAACUCAUGACCACUGGAAGAUUUUGGUGAAACCUUCCCAAUAAUAUCAAUACCCCAUACUGAAAAUGGCCAUGGCGAAGUCAAGGCGUGUAACUCUGAUGGUGGUGCAUGUAUGAGAUCACCAUGAAUCUGACACUCUGGGCAUUUCUGGACAAACUGACAACAAUCUGUCUCCAUAGUCAACCAGAAGUAACCCGUCCUCAUAAUCUUACGAGCUAGCAUGUGUCCUCCCAUAUGCGGACCACAAACUCCUGAAUGGACCUCUCUCAUCACUCGAUCUGCAGAGGCUCGAUCUAAACACAACAGAAGCAUACCAUCAGCUGAUCGCCUAUAUAAGGUAUCUCCGCAAAUCACAAAUCUAGUAGCCAAAUGCCUCAGUGCUCUCCGAUCCUUGGCAGUGGCUACCUCAGGGUAUGUGCCAAAUCUGAGGAACUGAUGAAUGUCAUGAUACCAAGGUAGAUCAUCCUGGUCCUCUAUCUCCCCAAUCAAACAACAAUAGGCGGGUGCAGACCUCGACUCAAUCAGUAAUGGACGUAUGACUACAUCAAUCGGAAUGUCCACGGAGGAAGCUAAAGUAGCUAAGGCGUCAGCAAAUCGAUUCUGCGCUCUAGGCAGAUGAACAUAUCUCAAGUCGUCAAAUCUCGCAACCAACAACUCUAAAUAAGCAUGAUAUGGCCUAAGCUUCACGUCCCUAGUCUUCCAAUCCCCCUGAAUCUGCCUGAGUACCAAAUUGGAGUCACCAAACACCUCCAUCUGUCUAAUGUCAAGCUCUAAUGCAGUCUCUAAACCAAGGAUACAAGCCUCAUACUCAACUAUGUUAUUCGUGGCAGGAUGUCGAUCAGAGAAUGCCAAACGAACGGACCUCGGAAUAUGAUCACCCUGAGGGGAUACCAAUAGAACACCAAUCCCAUACCCUGACUGAUUGGCUGCACCAUCGAAGUACAUGCACCAUCCUAAUAAGCUGGUCAUAACAACAAACUCCUCAUCUGGAAAAUCAUCAUCAACUGGUCUAUCCUCAGAUGUCGGUAGUGAGGCUAAGUGAUCGGCGACAAUACUUCCCUUAAUAGACUUCUGAGAAACAUACUGAAUAUCGAACUCUGUCAAAAGUACAAGCCAUCUCAUCAAUCUACCAGUCAAUGCAGGUCUAUCAAACAAGUAUCUUAACGGGUCCAGGCGGGAUAUCAAAUGUACUGAGUACUCCGUCAUGUAAUGCCUCAAUCUCCUGGUAGCCCAAACUAGUGCUAAGCAUAGGCGCUCAAUCAUAACAUAUUUCAUCUCAUACUCCAACAUCCUCUUACUUAGGUAGUAAAUAGCUCGCUCCUUUCCUAAGUCAUCAAUCUGAGCUAACAUACAUCCCAAUGCCAUGUCUGAAACUGACAAAUAUAGGAUAAGUGGACGUCCUGGCGUAGGAGGCACUAAAACAGGAGGAGAAAGCAAAUACUCCUUGAUCUUCUCAAAUGCAAACUGACAGUCAUCAUUCCAAACUGUUGGCUGGUUCUUCCUCAAAAGACGAAAGAUAGGCUCACAUAUGUCUGUCAAUCUGGCUAUGAACCGACUAAUGUACUGUAAUCUGCCCAGAAAACCUCUAAUCUCUUUCUCAGUCUUUGGUGCAGGCAUGUCAAGUAUGGCUUUGAUUUUAUCUAGGUCGACCUCUAUGCCCCGCUCACUGACUAUAUGUCCCAAUAACUUCCCAGAAGUCACUCCAAAGGUACACUUCUUGGGAUUCAACCUCAAUCUAAACUUCCGGAUCCUCUCAAAGAAUCUCUCUAAAGCAUCUAGGUGAUCUGCUCUACCUCGGGAUUUCACAAUCAUAUCAUCCACGUAAACCUCGACAUCCCUAUGCAUCAUGUCAUGAAACAAAGUGGUAGCGGCUCUCUGAUAAGUGGCUCCUACGUUCUUCAACCCAAAUGGCAUAACUCUGUAACAGUAGGUACCCCACUCAGUAAUAAAGGUUGUCUUCUCCAUAUCCUCUGGAGCCAUCAAAAUCUGAUUAUACCCUGAAAACCCAUCCAUGAAAGACAACAUCGAAUGGCCUGCGGUGCCAUCAACCAACAAAUCAAUGUGUGGAAGGGGAAAGUCAUCUUUAGGGCUGGCUUUAUUGAGAUCUCUGAAGUCAACACAAACCCUAACUUUGCCAUCCUUUUUAGGAACAGGGACGACAUUAGCCAACCACUCUGGAUACUCAACUACUGAUAUGAACCCAACACUGAGUUGUUUCUGAAUCUCCUCUUUUACCUGUAGACUCCAACGUGGAUGCAACCGUCUCAAUUUUUGCUUAACUGGUUUAGCAUGUGGUAGGGUAGGUAAAUGGUGCUGGACUAUAGAGGGAUCAAGACCUGGCAUGUCCUCAUAAGACCAUGCAAAGACAUCCAAGUAUGACCUGAGUAAAUGGAUGAGUCUAUCUCUCUCAUCUGUAGAUAGGGGUGAACCAAUCUUCAGCUCUCUAGGCUGAUCCUCUGUGCCAAAAUCAACAGUCUCAACGUCCCCUGCAGCAGGUGAAACUCUCUCAUCUAUGGGACCAGAGUCAUGAUCAAAAGAGUCCCUAUCCGAAUUGGGCUGUGCAAUCUCAUCAUCUAUAUCAAAUAUCUGUGUAAUGGGUGAGUGGGGUGCAGACGUAGAGAUACUAUCACAAGAGACAGGCGAAUACUCAAAAAUGCUCAAAUCCAUAAAUGAAGCAACAGAAACAUCGUCAGAGCGGGAGACAAAUCCCGAUAAAACAUCAAAAGAAAGAGAUGGGUCCACAAGGUCGGACGCUCCCUCAACUGGGCUAACAAUGCCCUCAAACAAACUACUAUCAUCCUCUGGAAGCUCUGGAACAGGAAGAGUCUGAGUCCCCUCAAAAACCUCAAUGGUAGAUACCCCAAACAUAUCAAAUGCUGAAACAGGCUGAAGCUGAACAAUGCCGGCAAUCUGGCUCACGGUCAUCAUGUCCAUCUCAUCACGGUACUCAUCAUGGGGAACAACUCCAUCAAUCACCUCAGUAUGAUCAACAAUCACCCCGUCACUCGUGAUCUCCUCUGGAAAGCAUAGAGACAACAUGCUAGCUCGAUCUGGAGACGUGGGAGUAAUCGUCAUAGGGAAAAAAGUGUCGGGAGCCCCAUCACUCAACUGUAGCUGGUGAAAUAGAUGUUGAAGAUCGGUCUCUCUAUCUGUAUGAACCACACUAUCAAUCUCCUCUAAACGAGGUCGAGUCUCUGAUCCUCUGAUAAAGUAGUCAGCCAAACUCAUCCUAUAGGGUCGAAUAGGAUAAUCAAAUGGUGUGUGGGAUAAACGGGCUCUCACCCUCUCCUUGCGCAGCCGCGCCAUGUGACGGUAAUCGGCCUCAGUAGGGAUGAAUCCAAGUCCAAAUGUCGUAUCAUGGUCAAUGGCAGCUAUGAACUCGCUCGGUCCCUGCUGACGUCGUCCUAACCCCAUGCCAGGUAGAAAGGUCAUACCCCUCAUCAUAUCAAGAACCACUGUACUACUGUGCUGAUCAAACGACAUAGCCACAAAGUCUCUACAACAAUCCUCAAUCUCGAGAGUCUGUACCUCAUCAAAAGUAAACCCAGUCAGAAGUAGGUCGUCCUCACUGUGACUGAUCUGAAGUACUGGCUCAGAAGACGCAAAUAUAUCCCUGGUAGAGCGCACUGUGAUGACCUGCCCAUCAUGAAUAAACUUCACCUUCUGAUGAAGGGAAGAAGGAAUAGCUCCAGCUACAUGAAUCCAUGGUCGGCCUAGUAGCAGGUUAAAGGAUGCAGGAAUCCUCAAAACCUGGAACAAAGUGGAAAAUGUGGCUGGACCAAUCUGCAAAUCGAUCAUCAAGGUACCCAUAACCUCUCUCUUGGUGCUAUCAUACGCUCUGACUGUCUGAGUAGAAGGACCAAAAUCUGAAGGCGCGAAACCAAGGGCUAUAGCAGUGGCUAAAGGGCAAACAUUCAGGGCUGAGCCGUUGUCCAGUAGGACAGACGGGACUCUACGGCCUGAACAUCCAACUGUGAUGUAUAGAGGGCGCACGUGGUCUAAACCAUCAGGUGGCAAGUCAUCAUCUGAAAAUACAAUGCAAGUGGCCCUGCCAGCCGUCAUCAUAUGAAUCAAUCCCUCUGGAGUGGUGGUAGUCUCUACUCUGAUCUGACUCAAGGCUCGAAUCAAAGCAUCUCUAUGAGUACUGGAUGAUGCUAGUAAACUCCAGAUGGAAAUGCGAGCCUGAGUGCUCUGUAGCUGCCUCAAAACCUCAUCAUCAUCUCUCCUAACCUCCUCAUGAGAGGCUGUACCCUCAAAUGGUCUGACUACUGGUGGUGGUGGCUGAGCUAUCCUCCCACUACGAGUCACAAUCUGUAUCUCUCUCCCCUCCGAAUCAUCAUCCUCUGGCCAUAAGGUGAAAUGAACAAAAGUAUCCUGACAUCCGAUAACUAAGGGUGUAGGAUGAGUCAACUGGAAUGGUGCCUCGUCCGGGAUCAAACUGAAUGGUGCAGGAGUCUGAGGGACCAAUGAAACCCCAUCAAUCUCAUAGCUGUCAUGCAAAACAAUCGGCUCGGGUAAUCCAUCAUCCCAACUCAACAUGUGUAUACUGUCAUCCUCUAUAAGGUCCAUGUGAUGAAUAUCUCCUGAAGAUGGAUGCACUGCGUGUGUAGAAUGAGCAGGAAGAGGGUUAGUGGUCACACUUGGCUGCCCCAAGUUGACCAAACCCUGAUCUAUCAAAUCCUGAAUAGCAUGUCUCAAAGCAGUGCAAUGGUCCGUGUCAUGCCCUGGUCCCUGAUGGUAGGAACAAUGUAAGUCCAUCCUAAAGCGAGGUGGUAUGGGUUGGGGUAAAGGCCUGGAUGCUAAUGGAAUCAAUAAUCCACCCUCUGCGAGCUUCUGAAAAGCUCGACUCAAAGGCAUACCCAACUGAGCAAACUGACGUGGUGGCCUCUGCACAUAAGUAGUGGUCUGUGGAGCUCGGGGUCGAGUAUAUGGGGCAGGAGGCCUCUCUGCGACGUGUGCAGCAAAAACAGGCUGUGAGUCUGGAUGCAGAUAAGUAGGAGUCAUGGGUCUGGAAGGAGCGGGUGGUCUGUAAUGCGCAUGAGGUGAAGGUGGAUAGUAGUACCCAGGAGUCUGCCCAACUGUCUGAUAGUGUCUAGAAGGUCUCAUCCCUACUGAACUGAUAGCACCAACAUCUCCUGAUCUCUGUCCUCCUGAAGGCCUCUUCCCCUUAGAAUCAGUAGGGGAAGGCUCAGACCAUAAUCCUCUAGCAAUGCCCUCCUCUAUACCGUACAAAGCCUGUACCAAAGAUCCAAAAUCCGUAUGGGGAAAUCCCAUCAAGUGUCUAGCAAAUCUAGGCUGCAAGCUCCUCAUGAUCAUGCUAAUCUGAUCCUUCUCUGAAGGACGGUCUAUAAUCUGUGAAAUCUUCUCCCUCCAGCGGGAGAUAAAUGAAGUGACUGACUCCUCCGGCCUCUGUCUCAAAGCCUCCAACUCUCUCCUCGAAACAUCAAUGACAGUGUUAAAUGCAAACUGUCUCAAAAACUCCUGGGCCAAGUCGUCCCAAGUCCUACGGCGUGAUACCUCCAAUGAAGCGAACCAACGCUGUGCAGCUCCACUCAGGGACAUAGGGAAAAGCAUAACCAUCUGGGCCUCAUCCAGUCCAUGGGCCCUCAUAACAGUACUAUAGAGUCUCAAAUGGAUGCGAGGGCAUCCUAUGCCUGUGUAUCUCUCAAUCUCAGGCAUCCUGAACUUGGCCGGUAGACUGGCCACUGGUGCUCCAUCAAAAUCCUCCCAAGUAAUAGCUCCCUCUGAAGUCCUCAUCUGUCUCAACUUCUGCUCAAGUUUAUCCAUACGAGCAUGUGGGUCCUCUGAAGCCGGGAUAGGCGAUGUGAUAGGAGGUGGGGCAACCUCGAUCUGACUAUGCAGAGUGAAAGGUAUAGCCUGUGGUACUGACUGACUAGGCAGAGGUGGUGGCGGUACUGUGGUAUCGAACUGGGUACUCUCCUGAACUGGGACCUGCUGGGUCUGCUGUCCAUCUAUCCUCUGACCAAGGUUAGCUAUAGCCUCCUGGAUAGAAGCCAUGGCUGCGGCAAACUGGUCAACGGUAACUACCUGUGAGUCCAUAUCCCUCUGAUCUGAUCUCUGAUCUGACUGGUCUGAUACUCUGCUCAAUCUACCUCCAACUCUAAUCCACAAAGGUGAAUCCAGAUCGGUCACGGUAAACCCUCCUACAAAUAUGGAAACACUGAAUAAGGUGCAACUCGAAGGUGACUCUGUAUGAAUCAAAGGCGUUGAAGCAAAGCCCAAAUAUACUCAAUCUGAUACCCUCUUCUGAUUACACCAAAAGGAGACUAAGGAAGGGAUAACCAAUUCCAAUUGUGACCAAGGCAGCUCUGAAGGUCCACAGAUGCACCCACGUGUAGGAAUGAAAUCUUAAUUGGGUCUAGGCUAACCUACAAGGUUAAGGUGGCUCUAUAAGAUAAAAUGGGCGGGUCAAAGGAUCCCUAGCAGAAGCGAUCGUACCCUCCGGCGGUACGCAACCCUCUGCACGCCUCCAAGGAGACGGGGUGCUUCCAUGCAAGGUGGUCAUCACCUCCACACAUGCACUUCCUCGCGUUCCCAGGGGGUUUCUUAAUGGUGAAGGCUCUCCCAUCUCUCAACACUCAGGGAUAAUCUAAAGUGCACAAUGAAGGAUGUGGGUGCAUCCGAAAAACCUAAGAUCUAAAGUGAGAUAGUGAAUGAAGACAAGCAAUCAUACGAACAUGCAAGAGAAAGGGUUGUCAUGCAACAAGCAGCCAUGCGUAGCAGAUAAAUAUCAAACAAUCAAAGUCCUAUCUAGCAUAUGUGAGAGUGAAUCAUGCUAAGUGAGCAAAACAAUCAAGUGAUCAUCCAAGGCAAUCAAACAUAUUAAGAUAGCAAACCAAACAAGCAAGCAAAUCAAAUCACCUUGCCUAAAAAAAGAGGUACCCACUAAUCGACCAAUUAAACGCCACAUUUUCCUUAAAUAGUGUUCAAGCUUGAUCCUCAAAAUCCCCAGUGGAGUCGCCAAUUUGUGGACCCGCAUUUUUCACAUGCGUCCCCACUCGAUCGGCGAGACUCGCUUUUUAUUUGUGAAAAAUUAAUUUUAAAAAAAAGUUGGAGUCGCCACUUAUUUUAUUUUUAUUUUUUAAGGGAAAAUAAAACAAGAAAUAAAACCCUAAAAAAAAUGACUCCAUAAUUUUUGGAAAAGCGUGUCUUUGAAAACCCAAGUCUUGGUCCGGGGAUCAGGUUACUUAUUGGGAAGGUACCUCUAAGAGGUAGCACCCUUCUAAGCCCUAAAAAAGUCUCUACUAAUUAAGUUAAGGGGAAUAUGGCAAUUAAUCGGUUAAUUAUGGAUACUAAGUAGGCUAGGUGAUUUCAAAAGAUUUGCAUGCUAAACAAGAUCAAAUUGCCAUAAAAGAAAGGUUAGGAUGCGUACCUGGACCGCUUCUCAAGCGCUAUCAUAAAACAUCAGAGUUAGUAUAGAAGUAUAACACACAACAUGUAUUUAAUCAUAGUGAAUCAAGCAUACAUCUAAACACCUAAGGAUCAUCAAACAUAUGCAUACUUCAUAGUGACACGAUUGUUUACAAAAUUUAGAAAGUAGGCGAUAGGGGGGGGCGUACCUGGAUAGCAUAAAUAACUUACAAUGCGCUCCCAGAAGACAUGAGGGAUUAGAUAAUAAUAAAAUAAAGAAACCCUAGCAUGCUUGUUAUCUAAUUAGCAUAACAAAAAUUAUCAAAGUAUAUGAAAACAUUAAUUAUCACACACAUCUUAUAUACAAUUCCUAAAAAAAGAUAGACAUAAUUUCAACGAGUGACAAAAAUGGCAACAAAAAUAAUUUUUGAAAAGAUUUUCUUAUGUAGGGGUUUCACCAAUUCCCCAAUUGAUAUACACGAAUUUAGCCCAGAAUCAUCCCAUUAUUUGGGACCACAAGCUUUGAUUCGUGUUUUUGUUCAAAACCAAAAUUUUUGUUGAAAACCGAGAAGGAUGCAAACCGAACAAGAUAUGGUUGCAUAUUAUUUUUAAAUAAUAAAAAAAAAAAGAGAUUUUGAUCCUGAGGACUCUAAAUGAGUUUUUGAAAUAGAUUUUUAAAAUGAUUUUUUUGAGAAAAGUAUUUUAUUUUAAAAUAAAAGGAAUUAAUUUGGAAAAAAUAAAAUAUAAGAAAUAAAAUACCCAACAAAACAAAAAUGAAACCUCAAAGUAAAAUUUUUUUAGUAAUUAACAAAAGUGAUAAUGGUGAUGGUAGAGGCCAAUCUUUAUGAUUUUCCAAUGGCCUUUGAACAAAUUUAAUAAAUAUUCACCAAAGCAACAAACCAAACGACUUUAGAUCAAAUAAAACUAACGAAAUAUUAAUCGAGAAUUUAUUAGGAUCAAUCAAGCACAUAAAUUGAGGUAAACAAUUAAGAACUAAUUUAAAAUCAACCAAACACCUAAACAUGUAAUUAUAAUAAUGUGAAUAUAGUAACACAAGCACAUAGAAUUCUAAAACAUAUUAACUAAUCAACAACUAGACAUUAAUAACUUCCAAAACAAAAAAACAAAACUAAGUAACGAGGGAUUAAGCAAAAUGAUAACCAAAAUUAAAAAAAAAAGGACACAUCAACUAAAUAGAAAAGCUAAAUUUAACUAUUUUUAAUACAUGAGUAUAAUAACAUGGGAUAAAACUAAUUAACUAAAAUUUUGAAAAACUAUAAACUAGGACAAGAUUAGUCAAAAAUCAAAAUUAACAAACUUUUUUAAAACAUGAGCAUCGAUUAAACUAAUCAACUAAAACUCUAAAAAACACACGUACUAAAAUUAGGUCAAUCAAGAAUUAAAAUUAACAAACUUACAACAUGAGAAAAAUAACUUUUAAAUUAAAUAUCUAAAACUCUAAAAAACACACAAAAUAAAAUUGGAUCAAUCGAGAAUUAAAACGAACAAGCUCAGAACGUGGAUAUAAUGACAUGAGAAAGUAAUAGACUCAUCAACUAAAAAUCUAAAACACAUAAACUAAAUAGGGUCAAUCAAAGACUAAAGUUAACAAUUUUAAACAUGGAAUUAAUCACAUAGGUUCAAUAGGAAUAAUAAACUAAAAUUCUAAAAACACAUAAGCUAGAUAAGAUCAAUCAAAACUAAAGUUAAAAAAUUAAAACAUGGAUUUAAUCAAGUGGUUCAAUAGGAAUAAUAAACUAUAAUUCUAAAAACAUAAGCUAGAUAAGAUCAAUCAAAACUAAAGUUAAAAAAAAUUAAAACAUGGAUUUAAUCAAGUGGUUCAAUAGGAAUAAUAAACUAUAAUCCUAAAAACAUAACAACCUAGAAAAAUCAAAACUUGGAAUCAAGACAAUGAAUCAAAAUCAAACUAACUACAUUCUAACCUUUUCAUCCGAUUAAAAAAUCAAAAUUAAUACAUAAAAACUCUACCCUUCAAUCCAAUAAAAAAAUUAAAACUAAAAUCCUUAGAAAUUCUAACUUACCUUCUCUAGGAUUCCUCUAUGGUGGUGCAGCUGCUCCUCUCUUUCUUGCCCGGCCUCUCUUUGUUCCCUCGAAAAAAUGUCUCCGUGUUCUCUCAAAAAAUUGCUUUUUUACGUGGAUCGCUCUAAAAAAAAUCUGUCCCUCUACCUAUAUGGCAGCCUUACCUUUUAAAAUACACAUGUGAUGGUCUCUUCAAUACGGAAAGCAUGACUGCCCAUAUGGAAUCAUGAUUUUGUCCCCCAAAAAGAAGAAAAAAAUCUCAUGCAACUUGGAUAUUUCCUCAUUAAAAAUUCCGUUUUCCAUAAAUUCUCCAAUACAUACCCAUAAAGCAUUUUGUUCCGAGAAUCACGAUUUCUCCAUCUCCUUGCCGACAACCCCGCUUUGUAUGGAAUAUUUUGUUUCUUUUUUUUAAUGCAUUUGGACAUAUGGAAAGUGCAUUGCAUGGUGGCUAACUUGAGAUUCUCAAGGAUGCAGCCGCAUGUUGUGAUAGUCACCGGAAUGGGUGCUCCAACUGGCAUGGAUUGAAACCCUCCCCAUAAUGAGUAGACUUCAUAUUUUCUUCUAUCAUUUUGAUGUUUUCCGCUUUGCAAACAUGGUUCUAAAGGCUCUGUAUAAGUCAGACGUUGCAAUAUUGAAUUAAGAAAACAGGUAUUACCCAGAUUUUCCAAACCAACACCAAUUGUUCUACUUGUGAUCCCAAUACCGAGCUCCAGAUCCAACCCGUUCUUCAUAUGAUUAGACCCAUCUUGUUUUUUUUUUUCUACUCGAAGCCGCCAAACCAGUAUUGUGCCCGGGUCGCUUUGCAUCUGUGGUGGGGUUCAGAGUCUCAAGGCUAAAACCUCCGUCUCCGUCUCGAUAAUCCAUUCAUCGUCGUCAUCACUGUUCUCAUUGCUUCUCUAUUUCUCUCCAUGUGUUCCAAUCUUCUCUCACCAAAUCAAACAACACUGCUAAUUCAUUAAAAUACUAAUUAAACUUCUGCCUCCAAUCACCUCCUCACCGCGACUCCACCUUGUUUUCGUCCACAACAAUCAGGAAAAAAUCCAGAUUCCGGCGACUCUCUGGUGAAGUCCUCUCUCAACCUUUCUGAAAAUUCCCCAAGAUCUUCUGCCCCGUUCUUUAUCUCUCAAACAACCAUCUUUACCAGAAUUUCUCCACCUCUAUUUUUCAGAAGACUUCCCUCCUUACUCUCUACUUGGACUUCUUUUUCUGCUCUCUGUUUUCUCCAUUCUUCACGUCUUCUUCCCCUAUUUUUCUUUUUCCCUUUCUCCACCCAAUUCUCUCUCUUCCUUGCUUUCUGCUCAGUUAUUCUUCCACUUCUUUUGUUUCAGCAAAAUAAUAUAUCCCCUUGCUGUAGCGCCUGUGUAGAAUGCAAGCUGCUCGGUGGCAAAACCCAAACGCUCGGCUAACGGGGUAAUACCUAAUAAGCUGAAGAAGAAGACCCAUCCAUGCUUUCUAGUAAGAUAAUGUAGCAAAAUUGCUAAGGGACCGAAAGGUAGCAACAUAUUUAUCUUCGCUUUAAUCAAGACAAUGUAAACACUUCUUAGAGGAGCAGUCCUCAUUUUUUUAAAGAUCCAUGAGGUGGAGAGAGCUGCAUGAGACCCAAUAUGAGAUGUCUCGAAGUCAAAAGAAUGAACUUUUCUUGUGCCUUGUGAUGUGCUAUAAGGGAUCUCCGCAUCUGAUUCAAGGUCUAUCUUCUCCUCAAUGGAACCCAUCU